rnacentral:rRNA from 1 species
GAGCGAACCGAGCGAACGUUGUUCGGAAUAACGUGGGCUUAAAGGGCGCGUAGGCGGGCUGUCAAGUCUGGGGUGAAAUCCCGCGGCUCAACCGUGGAACUGCCUCAGAUACUGACGGUCUCGAGGGAGGUAGGGGCGAGCGGAACUGUGAGUGGAGCGGUGAAAUGCGUUGAUAUUCACAGGAACUCCGGUGGCGAAGGCGGCUCGCUGGACCUCUUCUGACGCUGAGGCGCGAA